AUAAUUGGUAAUAACGUGACAUUUGCCUACGACUGCAGAAUUCUCGGCCAUAGUCUUUUGCGUCAAGAUGUCCUCUCCUGUCUUCGGCGUCCAUUGGCAGCGAAUGCAGAGACACGUUCACGAUCAUCCAGUAAAGGAUGUCACACGUCAGCGGCGCCGCUCGUACGGUAUGAUCCGAUUCCGUUGAUCGAGAGUCGGCACUUGGCACCAGCUGACUUGUCGACGAGACGGGCAUUACACGGCGACUAGAGUCGGCGAUAUCAAAAGGCGGAAAGGAUUUGGUGAAACCCACACUUUUUAUUUAUUUUUUAUUUAUUUUUUUAUUUAAUUCCUACCAAACGUUAAGGAAAUAUAGUCCCCAUUUUUAUGCCGAUUAAAAACAUUUUUGCUCGUUCAGUUUUUUUAUCUUUCUUUCUUUUUUAUUUUUUAUCUUCCUUUUAGUAAAAUAAAUUCCCCUUAAAAAAAUAAAUAAAUAAAUACUUCCAGAUGUAA